GCAAGUCGAGCGGUAACAGAGAGGUGCUUGCACCUUUGCUGACGAGCGGCGGACGGGUGAGUAACGCGUAGGAAUCUACCUGGUAGUGGGGGAUAGCCCAGAGAAAUUUGGAUUAAUACCGCAUACGCCCUACGGGGGAAAGGAGGGGAUCUUCGGACCGGUCACUAUUGGAUGAGCCUGCGUGAGAUUAGCUAGUUGGUGGGGUAAAGGCCUACCAAGGCGACGAUCUCUAGCUGGUCUGAGAGGAUGAUC
rnacentral:rRNA from 1 species